AGCACGGAAGGCGAAGA
rnacentral:miRNA from 1 species